rnacentral:lncRNA from 1 species
AUGCUGGAAAGGGGCUGCGCGAGUCCGUCCGGUACAAAUGCGAAUUAUCUCCAGAAAAGGCCAGGGAGGAAGACAUGGGACAUACUAUGUGUCAUGACAUUAUCGCUCACAAAUAGGACAGGAAAUGAAGGAUUGCCAAAAUAUAACUGUUUAUUUCUUGGCCUGAAAACACGGCUGUUUAAAAUAUUACAUAGCGCAGGUGCCCAGCGCCACAGAAGGAGAGCAGGGGACGUGCUGCUGGCUUGGACCCCGACUGCUAGAUCAGGC